rnacentral:rRNA from 1 species
CCUACGGGUGGCAGCAGUCGAGAAUCUUCGGCAAUGGGCGCAAGCCUGACCGAGCGACGCCGCGUGUGCGACGAAGGCCCUCGGGUUGUAAAGCACUGUCGAGGGGGAGGAAGCCGAAAGGUUGACCCAUCCCUGGAGGAAGCACGGGCUAAGUUCGUGCCAGCAGCCGCGGUAAGACGAACCGUGCGAACGUUGUUCGGAAUCACUGGGCUUAAAGGGCGCGUAGGCGGGCCUCCAAGUCCGGGGUGAAAGCCCCCCGCUCAACGGGGGAAGUG